rnacentral:rRNA from 1 species
UAGUAGGGUGCAAGCGUUAAUCGGAAUUACUGGCGUAAAGCGUGCGCAGGCGGUUUCGCUAAGACAGAAUGUGAAAUCCCCGGGCUUUAACCUGGGAACUGCCAUUUGUGACUUGGCGGGCGUAAGAGGUAUUGGGCAGGAGGGGGUAGGAAUUCCAACUGUGUAGCAGUGGAAAUGCGUAGAGAUGUGGGAAGGAAUACC